UACGAAGGGGGCUAGCGUUGCUCGGAAUCACUGGGCGUAAAGGGUGCGUAGGCGGGUUUUAAGUCAGGGGUGAAAUCCUGGAGCUCAACUCCAGAACUGCCUUUGAUACUGAAGAUCUUGAGUCCGGGAGAGGUGAGUGGAACUGCGAGUGUAGAGGUGAAAUUCGUAGAUAUUGCAAGAACACCAGUGGCGAAGGCGGCUCACUGGCCCGUACUGACGCUGGG
rnacentral:rRNA from 1 species